rnacentral:rRNA from 1 species
AUGAAUCCCCUGAGUUUGCUCCUACCAGAAGCAAGGCGGUGUGCCGGUGAUGGUUGCACAUCUGGCCCCCGGACCUGGCCCCUACAGUACGCUCGCCACCAAGGCGUGCUCUGUCGCCUCUGCUGUUCCUGUCUACUCCUCUCCCACCGUUCCUUGUACUGUUGUUGUUGCUUCCAACUCCUCAAUGAUGACUCGUCUUCUGACAACGACGACCCUAUCAUCUCCCCGGAUGCGCCUACCGUCCCCUGCAUUGUCUGUCGCAAGGCCAUCGCGCACUUCUCAUGUAUCCACUCCCCCAGCGAUGUGUUCCUCUGCCCCGCCUGCAAGGCGGCUGCGCUUGGGAGGCCCUUCUCAUACAUGCCGUCCUCCAUGGCGUUGCUCGACAUGCAAGGAACACAGGUCAUAUUGUUGUCCACUAAGAUAGCGCUCCAACUGUUGAAGGCGGAGGCUAGCCAAAUGCGUGUGUUGGGGGAGCGGAUGGCAGUUGAGUCCAUGGAAGCGCGGAAGCAAGCGUACCACGCACUCAGCAUGGCCUUCGGCAUAGACCAUAAUCCACCCUCUGUGAACGAACACAUCUCAUCACCUGAGAACAUGCGCCCCCAAGGCGGCGAGCUGCACAUUGACAUGAUGAAGCUGGACCUAAACGAGCCUCCACCAACUUCCCCAGGCAUGCUUGCAGUCGGCACUGAGGGUGUCCACGGAGGAAUGGCAAUGGCUUCCAACUACGAGCCCACAUUGUCUUCCAUGGCCAUGUUUACACUUGGCAACGAGAAUGUAUGCGAGGAAUUUGAAGUGACUUCUCGCGAGUUCACACUACAAAUGUUCUGGAAAGACAAUGAUGAGGCGAAGGAUGAUGAUGAGGAGUAA